CCUACGGGCGGCAGCAGUGAGGAAUAUUGGUCAAUGGGCGCGAGCCUGAACCAGCCAAGUAGCGUGAAGGAUGACGGCCCUACGGGUUGUAAACUUCUUUUAUAAAGGAAUAAAGUGAGGCACGUGAGCCUUUCUGUAUGUACUUUAUGAAUAAGGAUGGGCUAACUCCGUGCCAGCAGCCGCGGUAAUCCGGAGGAUCCGAGCGUUAUCCGGAUUUAUUGGGUUUAAAGGGAGCGUAGAUGGGUUGUUAAGUCAGUUGUGAAAGUUUGUGGCUCAACCGUAGAAUUGCAAUGGAUACUGGCAGUCUUGAGUACAGUAGAGGUAGGCGGAAUUCGUGGUGUAGCGGUGAAAUGCUUAGAUAUCACGAAGAACUCCGAUUGCGAAGGCAGCUUACUAAACUGCAACUGACGUUGAUGCUCGAAAGUGUGGGUAUCAAACAGGAUUAGAUACCCUGGUAGUG
rnacentral:rRNA from 1 species